GUGCCUAAAUUUAAUGAGUAAGGAAAACCAUGUUGGUCUUGCUAAUCGCUCGACUGGUUGCUUCUAAGGCAGUGGGAUGAAGUUCAUCGUUGUCACUUUUCUUUAGUGGCCCGGUCGAUAUGGAGUUCCAUAUGAAGCGCAAAUUUUUGAAAGGGUACAGGUCGUCCCAUUGGACUCAUGAGCUUACUACUCUUUCGAGCUGUAGAGUUCAGGUGAAGCGAUUUGCCCU
rfam:Glossina pallidipes unplaced genomic scaffold Scaffold101, whole genome shotgun sequence.